CCUCCUCCAUUUUUGUAGCAGAGAUAAGGAAACCUCCAGACGUUUCCUAACCCGAUGAUCUCUCCAGCCACAGACAGUACAAACUCCACUUUGUUGCUCCACUGCCCCCUGUCUUCCAUCUUGUCCUCUGUAUAGUCCACUGCAGUACACAACACAUCUGAUUUCUCUGCCCCAUUCCAGGUCUCUUCACGGUCCUUCUGACCCAUUGCCCUGUAGGAAGAAAGAGUUUAGAAUCAGUUUUAAACAGAUCUGACACACACAGCUUAUAGCUGAAAGAAUAAUAGCAUCAAUACGAACAGAGGCCCUGUACAAUUACAAUUAGCCAGAGGGGCUGGAUGGGGUUGAAGUGAGAUGGAGUUUG